UCUAGAUUAUGCUCUCAGAAGACUUUAGCUAGAGUAUGUUGUUCAGUUGUGUUCUGUGCCACAAGAAAGAAGGGGAUAAACUGGAAGAAGUCCAGAGGAACAGCAAUUAGCAAUCUAGACGGCAUGCUGCUGGCAAGCACUGUGCAAGGGUCCACAUUGCAAAUGUACCUCCGUCCUGACCUGCAGCACCUCUGCUAUUCCCGUUUCCCAUCUCUCUGGAACAGAGCCUGCCAGUCCCGUGGCUCUGUGCCAAAUGGACUCCUGUUUUUCUGAAGUACGCAGCACCUGGAAUGAAGUUGGAAAGUACAUUUGGACUCCAAAGCCUGGAACGGGUGAACCCAAAUGAGGAAGAGAGGAGCCCUGCUUAUGCUGUUGUUCCAGCACAGGUGUCUGGGAGGGAGCCCUUGACAGAUGGAAGGAAAUUCCUGUACCUAGAGAUGAAGGUGGCAUCCCUGCUCCAUGCUGAAUCUCUGUUGGAGAGACCUGUCAUGGAAGGCAUACAACUACACUGGGACAUCUCACAACUGUUAUUUUGGAGGGGGAAGUCUGCUCAGUAA
rnacentral:lncRNA from 1 species